CAGCAUUUUUGGAUUACAAACAUUCAGGGGAAAAAGGUGUCAGGGGAACCCCCACAGGAAGUCACGGCGCUUCACAACAGGAAGUCACGGCGCUUCCCAACAGGAAGUCACUGCGCUUCCCAACAGGAAGUCACUGCGCUUCUCAACAGGAAGUCACUGCGCUUCUCAACAGGAAGUCACUGCGCUUCUCAACAGGAAGUCACUGCGCUUCUCAACAGGAAGUCACUGCGCUUCUCAACAGGAAGUCACUGCAGCUUUUUCUGGUUACGUGUUAACUGCCAAAAUCAGGGGUUUUAAGUUUAUACAAAGAACUGAGGAAAACAUGCUCUCAAGGGAAGACGGUCUAAUAAAUCAUAUUCAUUAGACCGUACUGUAUCAUAUAGGUUAGUCUGAUAUACAUUAGACCAUACUAUAUCAUAUAGAUUAGUCUAUAUCAUAUAGGUUAGUCUGAUAUACAUUAGACCAUACUAUAUCAUAUAGGUUAGUCUAUAUCAUAUAGGUUAGUCUGAUAUACAUUAGACCAUACUAUCAUAUAGGUUAGUCUAAUAUAAAUUAGACGAAACUAUAUCAGAUAUAUCUAUAUUUAUAUCUAUAUAUAUCAUAUAAUAAUGUGUGUGUAUAUAUGUAUGUAUACAUAUGUUAACUUAUAUGUAUACAUUUGUGUAUGUAUAUACACACACAUGUGUAUACAUAUGUGUGUAUGUGUACAUAUGUAAUUAUUGUGUAUAUAUAUAUAUAUAUGUAUAUAACUGUGUAUGUAUCCCUCCGGUGGUCCAGGCUCCUCCUCUGACCUCUGACCUUGACCUGGUUUUGUCUACUUGAGACUUUUAAACUAAACGGCCUUGUGUGUGUUUUUACUUUUCUAUGUUUGAGUGGUUUGUAAAUCCCUAGUGGAGGAACCGGGGUUCCUCUACCUGGUCCCGGGGGGGGCCCUGGGGGGGGCUCCACACCACACCACACCAGCCCCGUGUGGACACGUAGCCACGAUGGACUGUUGCUCAAUUAUGCUCUCAUCCGCAACACCAGGCUUUCCCACACCUGCCAAAUAAAGGGCCGGCCAGGCUCGGGGGGCCGGACCCUGGUUCCGGACCCCGAGGGUGCUGACCCCUGCCCCACCAGUCGCCCCCGACGACCACAGAGCUGUGGGAGGGGGGGGAGGGGCCCAGCACGGUCUUCGGGGACAAGCUCCGCCCUCACAGGAAGUACAGACCCAUGUGUCGGAGGUUGGGUGAUGCAGCGCCGUCGUAUUCAGGGUCAGACUCCUCCCCCCGCCGCCGCCCAGAGCUGGUUAGACCUUUAUACCGGGUCGGGGGGCUCCGGGACCAGGACCAAGGGCUUCAGGGACCAGGACCCGGGGCCCCAGGGUCCAGGACUCUGACCGGUCUGAGGGGGGACCCGGGCCGGGCCUCAGGGCGGACCUCCACCUGCGCUUCACUUCAAACGUCGGUGCCAAGGAGCUCAGGGCCUCUGAGCCUCAGGGCCUCUGAGCCUCAGGGCCUCUGCUCAGGAGCCGAACCUUCAACUUAUUUAUUACGGUUGGACUCUUUAUCGAUUUAUUUCUUUUGUUUUGUCUAAGUGAAGGAAUAAAGAUUUUUAAACCAAG
ensembl:lncRNA